UACGUAGGGUGCAAGCGUUGUCCGGAAUUAUUGGGCGUAAAGAGCUCGUAGGCGGUUUGUCGCGUCUGCUGUGAAAACCCGAGGCUCAACCUCGGGCCUGCAGUGGGUACGGGCAAACUAGAGUGCGGUAGGGGAGAAUGGAAUUCCUGGUGUAGCGGUGGAAUGCGCAGAUAUCAGGAGGAACACCCGUGGCGAAAGCGGCUCUCUGGGACGGUACUGACGCUGAGACGCGAAAGCGUGGGGAGCAAACAGG
rnacentral:rRNA from 1 species